GUUGUGGGGUCCUGGGAAGGGAAUCGCGAGUGGGGAAAAUCCCUGAGGUCGGCUCCAUCACCACCGCAGGCUGUCGCAUGGCUGGACGAAACUCGUUUCCUCGUCGUGCAAGACAAUUCCAUUUGUGCGAACUCUUACUCGGGCGAGCAACUGCAAGCGAGAUACUUUACUGAUGAUGAGUUGGGGGGAAGAUUGGGCAAGUUGGUGUCGCUCCUGGUGAAACCGAUCAACACGACGUGGAAGAACACGGGGUCGUUUACGAUUGGGCUGAUUUGGGAAAAUAAAAUUUGCCUGUUAAGAACUGUGAAUGAUUUGCAAGGGUUAAUUUUUGACCCACAAUUAACCAUCUCUUGCUCCGACUGGUCUCCAAAUGGGGUCUUCAUAGCGGUGGGUGGAACCAAGCGAAAUCUUCAAGAAGUCAGUGGUGCGCAAGUCAAUAUUUUCAAUU